UAUAAAGGGGCAGAAGCCAGAGAUCGUUCCUGCUUGCAGGAUAAGAUACUGGCUUAGUGCCCCGACCCACAUGAGCAAGGAGUGAUUUUGAAAAAAUCAACGGAGUGCGAAUGGGGGCAGAAGUGCGAGAGUUGCAAGGCAACGGAGCACUUCGU
rnacentral:sRNA from 1 species